GCCAAACAGAAACUAAAAUUGAGUGUAGAAUAACAUAAAGCCCAUAAUAUCUGCUACAAUACGGAUCUGGAGUCACAACUCAUUUGCUUCUAGAAUUUACUACAAAUAGAGUCUGAAAGAAAUACAAUUGUUUAAAAGAAAAGAAACAGUGAUAUAAGAAAAUAGAAGGGGACUUCAAGGUCUGCAGACGCCAUCAGAUCUACCUCGAGUCUCUGAGUGAGCAAUUCCAAGCUGCUCCAACUCAUGGACAGCUAGGGCCGGUACCAAAAUCUACACAUACAAUAUAGAGUGUAGCAUGAGUAUAACCGACCCCAUGUACUCAUAAGUAUCGAGCCUAACCCCAAUGAAGUAGUGAUGAGGCUAUGAAAAAAUACCUACCUAAUAAACCUGUGCAGAUAACAGUAUAUGUACAACAUAAUAACAAAUAAAACUAAUCAUGUACUAUUGGGAGGGGGACAUGCUAAGGGUACAGGAUACGAGAAAUAUAGCGGAAAUGAUGACCAGAAUAGUCAAUAUGCCUUUAACCAGUAAAAACAAUUAAGCACAAUGAAGAAAAUUGCAUGGCAUCACUCUUCGUGCUUUUACCCUCAACCUCACAAUGAAACAAUGAUACUACAUGGUAUCACCCUUCAUGCUUUUACUCACACUCACAGUAUAAAUCAAUAGAAAUGACACGACAUCACCCUUCAUACAUUAACACUCUCCCUUACCAUAUAACAAUGAACAAGUAACAACAGGAGAUAAAAUAACAAUAACAAGACUUACUUCAACAACGGUUCCAUAAUACCAAAUCUCAACUUUGAAUCAAUACUCAAUUAUCACCAAAAACACAUAAAAAUGAUCGGAAUGUGCACGCAAAUCGAGGAGGGUCAAAAUAAGGUAUUUAAGGCUUCAAAACACAAAAUUAGGUUCUAAAAUAUAAGAUGACAUAUCAAGUCAUCACAAGAAUGUGCUCCCAUAUCAACUUCCUCUACUACAAAGCAACAUCUACAUUAUGCAUGCAACACUGCACCUCAGCACUUAGUCCAGGCAAAUGCCAGAAAGACCCAUAAGACAAAAAUGGGCUCCUCUAAUGUGCAAUCUUGAAUAUGAGCCAGAAUACUUCACACUUUCUUUUACCAUCAUUAAGGUGAUUGCCAGCUUUCAAAACCCAAAAAACAGAUGUCAAGGUCUGGAAAUUCUAAUCAAACAAAAUAAGAAAUAAAAAGAUUACCCGGUAUCACCAUGCAUCUAAUUACUAACCUUCUCUCAUUUAAGUAUCCACCUCAUGUACGGUAGGUUCAAUUAACUAUCAACCCUCGGGGUAUUUUGUAUGAUUUUCCUUGACACGCUUACAAAUUUUGCAGGACCUUUCAUCUGGACAAAGAAAAACCAAAAAGAUGUCAAAGAAGGAUAACAACCUCACAGAUAGAAGUUCGUCAAGUAGAUGUUCGUCUUCCUAUAAUGUAAAGGUCAUUUCUUUAAAUAGUGUAGUUAGGGGAACAAAGACAGAUGAUUGCCAUUUUAAAUAGAGUAGGAAUCGGGUUAUUACCAUUUUUACUAUUUUUCUUUUGGUCUGCUCCAUCUGUUUUAUCAAAAGGUUUAAAAUACAUAGUGAGGAAGUUAUUGUUGGUGCAACGGGUUCUGAAUUUGGAUACUUCUAUUUCUAUUUCCCUAACAGCUCUAAAGGGGUUGUGACUUGGAUGCUAUAGCUGUUGUUAUCACACCUCCUUUUUACACGAAGGAGUAUAAGAGAGUUUUUCCAAUUUAAGUGACAUAAUCGAAACUGGAUUAUGUAUAUUCAAAUUCAUAGUUGCCACUUGGGAUAAUUUACGGUAUCCCAAGUCACCGGUUUAAAAUCCCGAAUCAAGGAAAGUUGACUCUAUUUAUGGUCUGCGAACACAGAAAUCCGGGUAAGGAAUUCUGUUAACCCGGGAGAAGGUGUUAGGCAUUCCCGGGUUUCGUGGUUUUAGCACGGUUGCUUAACUAUUAAUAAUUGGCCUAAUUAUCUGAUUUAUUACACAUUUUAAACCUACAUGCGUUUUUAACUUUCUAACCACUUUUAUUUAUUAUGGAAUUAUUUUCUGGAAUAAGGCACGAUAUCGCGUACUCGUUUAUUUUGAAAACAUUGCAAAUUACAUCACAUGAAAUGCACCCGCGAUUUACAACAUGUUUAAUAUUACUAAUAUUCGAUGUUAUGGUUGGGUCACAUGAAAUUCACACCCGGGUGUGGAGGGCCUAAACAUACAUUCCAUCGACACAACUAGACAACAACAUAAGUAAAAUAAUACAAAAUGCUCUCGAGCCCCAUUUUUUUAUUUUUUUAAAAACACUUCAAAUCAAUUUCCUCGACCAAAACAUUUUCCAAUUUUAUCAACCCGACCCCAAUUCAUUGUUCACUUCUAAUUACAUACGAAAUUGUCAAAACAACCCAUUUAUGUUUAUAAUCAACUUAAACCUAAAUUCUUCUUAAUUAACCAAUGCAACAACCUACGUUAAACAAAAAUUUUAGCAUGCAAGUUCAAGAUAAUUGUGAUAUAAACAGAACUUAAUUCAUUCACAUAUACAUGCACAAAACAUCAAAAUUUAUAUUAAUCCAGAAUAAUUUAAGGAACGGACCUUAGGUAUAUUUUUGCCAAAUGAAAUCUGAAAAUGCAACACCGGAAAACUUAAAACGACAACUUGACAGAAACAUGAAUCUUCCCGGACAACGACGAUUUCAGUAACCUCAGCUCAAUAUCCCUAGGGACUUCGUCAGAGAAGAUUUCGCACUUGAUGUCGCCUAGGUUUAUAUGAAGCGUCACUGACGUGCUUUGCUGCUCGAGUCUUUGAGAUUAUUAGAGCUGACUCAAAGCACUUCUCUACUUUUCCACUGAUAAAAAACAAGAGUUUAACAAAAGUGUUUCGGUGGGAUCCUCUGUAUGGCCAGUUAGCUGGACUCGCCAGAUUCCGGUAGUUUUGGCAGUUUUGGCAAUUGUUGGCAGAGACGAGGGGUGGACGACUAGUUUGUGUUCAUUUUUUUUGUUCUUGUACUUGUAUGUAUGUGUGUUUCUCGCUUGUAGUGGUGAUGAAAAUCGGUAGCUAUGGAGGAUGGUUGGCGAUAGCGAGGUCGCUAGGUUUGGGUAUGGGCGGCUGAUGGUGGUUGACGCUUAGUGGUAUGAAGAAGAAGAAGAAGAGGUGAGAAGGUGCUGUUAUGGUGGUGUACGACCGUGAUGGUGCAGUUGGGUUCUUCUUUUGGAGAUUCUCUAGGGUUAAGUUUUAAGGAAGAAGAAGAAGGGGUCCUAGGGUUUCAAAUCCUAAAAAAACGGCUGAAGCUUUUUUU
rnacentral:lncRNA from 1 species